rnacentral:tRNA from 1 species
GUGGUGACUCAGUGGUACAGUGCUCGCCUAGCAUGUGUGAGGCCCUGAGUUCAAUCCUCAGCACCACA